rnacentral:tRNA from 1 species
GAGGGUAUAGCUUAGUGGUAGAGUGCAUGCUUAGCAUGCAUGAGGUCCUGGGUUCAAUCCCAAGCACUGCUA